rnacentral:lncRNA from 1 species
AGCCUGUAGCCACUAUUGUGAGAGUAGCUUCCUAGAGAACCCCCCUAAUGCCUUAUCACGCCUAGGCGACAUUAGAAAGGACUUCCCGCCAAACUCUUGGAAUAUGAACACGUGUGUGGAGCACACACAGAAGCAAAAAACUGCCGGCCAGAAGUCCAGCUAGAGCUGAAAAUGAUACAAUCUAUCGCUCAACUAGAGUUUAUAGAUGCUCCUAAAUGUACCCAUAACAAAGUGCACAGAAUUGAUCUGCUUCGGAACACAUAGCCAGAGUCAGCGGACAUACCAUGAGAAAACCAGAAAAAGGCUCAGCUCUUUUGAAUGAGGUUGUGGGUGGCUCUGAAAAGAGCCGUUUGAGAUUUUCAAAGCAGGACGCACCACUCUACUUCUUGCGAGGGGCAGCCUUCUUUGCCUUGGUGGCCUUCGGCUUAGAAGCUUUAGGCUUGGAAGCCUUAGCCUUGGGAGCCUUGGCCUUGGCUGGACUCUUUGCUGCCUUCUUGGGCUUAGCAGCCUUCACCUUCUUGGGACUCUUGGAAACUUUCUUGGCGCCGGCAGCCGCCGCAGGCUUCUUCGCCUUCUUCGGAGUCUUCUUGGCCGUCUUUUUGGGUGUGGCAGCACCAGUCGCCUUCUUAGGCUUCUUGGCUGCUCCCGCAGGCUUCUUGGCCUUGGCCGCGCCUGCCUUCUUAGCCUUGGGCUUAGCCUCACCGGAAGCCGCCUUCUUGUUGAGUUUGAAGGAGCCGGAGGCGCCGGUGCCCUUGGUCUGCACCAGGGUACCCUUGCUCACCAGGCUCUUCAGCCCGAGCUUGAUGCGGCUGUUGUUCUUCUCCACAUCGUACCCCGCGGCCGCCAGCGCCUUCUUGAGCGCAGCCAGGGACACGCCGCUGCGCUCCUUGGAGGCGGCCACAGCCUUGGUGAUGAGCUCGGACACCGGGGGUCCGGACGCCUUGCGCUUCCCAGCAGCGGCGCCGGUCUUCUUCGCCUUCUUCUUCACAGGUGUCUUCUCCACAGGUGCAGGGGCAGCAGGCGCCGCGGGAGCGGUCUCGGACAUGUUCUAAGCUUUACUAGUAAAGCAAAAAGUAAGCACAAACAGUCAGAGAAGGUUGUUCCCAGUGCUGCAGGCUCUGGGUUUAUAUAGAGAGAAGCUGCGUGGUGAUUGGUUCCCUGCGCCGUGCGCCGUGCGCCGCGUUGCCAGAGAAAGGAUCUUCAGCUUUGCCUUGUGGCUGUGUUUGUUGCCCCUCAAAAAAGUAUAAAAAUAUAAAAAAUAUGGGCACGAAAUAAUUAGGGACUUGGGGGAAACUGAUCCGAGAGCCUGUAGGCUACAUUCUUGCCUUAAUUUGUGCACCUAUGUUCAAAAUCGGCACCCUGAAACUUCUCUGAUUGCCCCAACUCUCUUUCAAACUUGACGAAAAUUGGGACAACUUUAAGGUUUUCCUUAAAAAUACUACUUCUCUCGCGGUCAUUAGCAAACUUUUGUUUCAGGACAUGGUUCCUCACAUUCUUAUCAUUUCAGGACUCUAUGAAAUAACUUGUUUUCACGGAAAUACAUAGGGAAAUUUGAGUUUUUCGAGAAAGCAACAACACAAGCUUCCAGGGCUAUCUGCACCAAGCUGUAGGAAUUGGCACUAGAUGGGAAAGCAGUGCAUACCGGGGGAAUGAUUAUUGUAGAAAAUAUCGAUUGGAUUUUUUAAUGAUAUUUGAGAUACCAGUGUGUAAUUCCCCUUCGGUUUUCCUGUUUUAGUGAUUUAGCCAUUUUCUGGAGACGUGAUGAGUCUGUGCCAUCCCUAUUGUAGAUCAAAAGCUGAAAGCACAUAUUUUUCAGAUUUGAUAGAGAAAUGUACACCAACUAUCACAUGUACAGAAAAAAGAUACCUAGGUCAAGAAGGAACAGAAGUUUAGCAACUGGGAGCUGAAGAACAGUGAGAUAUAACCUGACUUAGCAACUCACUCCGUGUUUAGAGUACAAAGUUUACAGCUGUGUUAUAUGCCGUGUUUCAGGACCUGUGUUAUGCAGCUGUUUCCCCUUGCCAACACUUAUCACAACAGUUUUCUGCAUAUUUCCAGUUUUAAAAUGAUUUGAAUUUCAUUAUUAAAAACAAGCAGAAUGUGAAAGAAAAUCUGUUUUUUAAUUUCCAUGAUAGCUGCUGACCUCAUUACAUAUAUUACAUAUAUAAUAUAGUCUGUCACAAACAAAAGAAUUAGCAGGUGGUAUCCACCAAAGGACUUAAACAUUUCAUAGUCAGUUAUCAUUAUGAUAACUGCAGCAAGAAUAAAGUUUCUGGAAAAGGGAUCAACCAUGGGACUACAAACUUGAAACCAUAAGAAGCUUCACUCAUUCCCACUCAUGACUGUGGAGGCUAAUAUCACAAAUGUGGUUUUGGUCUUAACUCCAAAAUAUAAUUACAUCCUGAAAAACAGCAGAUUAUUCUCUGUAGUAAGGCUUGUACUAUUUUGUAGAGAUUAAAAACAGGCGAUAAAAAUCCCUAAGAGGUGUGAGAACAGUGAAACUUAUGGCUUCGUCCUCUUCUCUCAAUUUUGUGUUAGAUAAGCAAAUAUACACACAUACACACAAAUGCACACCAUUACUAUAGUAACAGGUGAGAGAUUACAGCCUCAUGAGGUAUUCUACAGGGAGACACAUUCUUGGGUAUUCUAAUACCUAGAGACUUUCAAAUCUACAGGAAAGGGUGGUUGUAUAAAAUAAAAAUCAACCUGGUUGUGGUGGUCCAUGCCUUUAAUCCGAGUACCUGGGAGGCAGAAGCAGGUAGAUCUCUGAAAUUAAGGACUAUCUACAGAGCAAGUUCCAGGACAGCUAUGGCUACAUGAAGAAACCAAGCACUGUUUCAGAAGGAAAAUAAUAGGGCUAAUAAAUAGGUAGC